rnacentral:lncRNA from 1 species
GCCAGCGGGCGGAGCGCGGAGGGGGUUUCGCUUCGGGCUAAGGGACUGUAGUUGUGACAGCCAGGAAACCGAGAACGGAAUGCCAAUACUGCUUAGGCUUAGAGUUUGAAAGGCAUCUGAUUUCACUGCCAUGUCUUUGAACAGCAGUGCACAGUGCAGUCUUCUUCGUGGCUGAACAGAGCUAAGGUCUUGCUAUGUUGCCUAGACUGGUUUUGAACUCCUGGGCUGAAGCAAUCCUCCCACUUCGGCCUCUCAAAGUGCUGGGAUAUCAGACAUGAGCCACCUGCCAUGCUUGGCCUAUCAGAGCUGAAUAAUUGUAUUGGAGAAUGUGUGGCCCACAAAGCUUGACUAUCUGGCCCUAUACAGAAGAAGUUUGCUGAUCUCUGACUUAGCUGCCUAGGAAUAGCCAGGCAACCAGCUGCUACUUUGAGCACCCGGCUAAAAUAAGCAGAGACAACUGGAAGGCUUGAUGUGAAAAAGAGCUGUUGAAGUGUACACAAGCAAGCUGACUGCCUUAUGACUAAUACUUGACAGAACCCAGCAAGAGGAUAUGAGAUUGCAGAUGGAUGACCUCAAUCCUGAACAGAAAGGCGUGCAUGAUAAUGGAGAGAAAAAAGCCAAUGGGGAAAAAAAACCCACCACUAUUUUUUUAAUAGCCUAACACACACACAAAAAACUGGUUUUCCUUUUUCUGUAAUGUGUCUGUAGAGCUGGCUAUUCUGAUUAAAGUUGCCCUUGAAAAAGCAAUUAA